rnacentral:rRNA from 1 species
UACGAAGGGUGCAAGCGUUACUCGGAAUUACUGGGCGUAAAGCGUGCGUAGGCGGUUUGUUAAGUCUGAUGUGAAAGCCCUGGGCUCAACCUGGGAAUGGCAUUGGAUACUGGCAACCUAGAAUGUGGUAGAGGGUGGCGGAAUUCCCGGUGUAGCAGUGAAAUGCGUAGAUAUCGGGAGGAACACCAGUGGCGAAGGCGACUACCUGGCCUGUUCUUGACGCUGAGGCGCGAAAGCUAGGGGAGCAAACGGG